rnacentral:rRNA from 1 species
UACGAAGGGGGCUAGCGUUGCUCGGAAUCACUGGGCGUAAAGGGUGCGUAGGCGGGUCUUUAAGUCAGGGGUGAAAUCCUGGAGCUCAACUCCAGAACUGCCUUUGAUACUGAAGAUCUUGAGUUCGGGAGAGGUGAGUGGAACUGCGAGUGUAGAGGGUGAAAAUUCGUAGAUAUUCGCAAGGACACCAGUGGCGAAGGCGGCUCACUGGCCCCGAUACUGACGCUGAGGCACGAAAAGCAUGGGGGAGCAACAGGG